UACAGCCAUAUCACGUUGAAACACCAGUUCACAUCAGAUCACUGAAGUUAAGCAACAUUGAAUCUGGUCAGUACCUACAGGGCUGACCACUUGGAAAUACCAGGUGAU